rnacentral:tRNA from 1 species
AAUAAUAUAAUAUAUAUUAUAUAUAUAAUUGUAAUAAUAUAUAAAUUAUAUAUAAUAUAUUAUAAUUAUAUUAUAAUUA